CUACGGGACGCUGCAGUGAGGAAUAUUGCACAAUGGGGGGAACCCUGAUGCAGCAACGCCGCGUGGAGGAUGACGCCUUUCGGUGUGUAAACUCCUUUUAUAUGUCAAGAAAAUGACGGUAGCAUAUGAAUAAGCACCGGCUAACUCCGUGCCAGCAGCCGCGGUAAUACGGAGGGUGCAAGCGUUACUCGGAAUCACUGGGCGUAAAGGACGCGUAGGCGGGUUGGAAAGUCAGGUGUGAAAUCCUACAGCUUAACUGUAGAACUGCACUUGAAACUUCUAAUCUAGAGUAUGGGAGGGGGAGAUGGAAUUAGUGGUGUAGGGGUAAAAUCCGUAGAUAUCACUAGGAAUACCUAAAGCGAAGGCGAUCUCCUGGAACAUUACUGACGCUACUGCGUUAAAGCGUGGCGAGCAAACUGGAUUAGAUACCCCAGUAGUC
rnacentral:rRNA from 1 species